rnacentral:rRNA from 1 species
UACGUAGGGUGCAAGCGUUGUCCGGAAUUAUUGGGCGUAAAGAGCUCGUAGGCGGUUUGUUGCGUCGGCUGUGAAAUCCCGAGGCUCAACCUCGGGUCUGCAGUCGAUACGAGCAAACUAGAGUGUUGCAGGGGAGACUGGAAUUCACGGUGUAGCAGUGAAAUGCGUAGAUAUCGUGAGGAACACCAGAGGCGAAGGCGGAUACCUGGACAAUUACUGACGCUCAGGCACGGAAAGC